AGUCGCACGGCCGCUGGGCAACGUGGGGGGGAAGGAUAACUCGAGCUAAUCGCCCCACAGCCUCGCGGUUACCUUCUAAUGGGAAUCUCCCGUUGGCCAGAAAAUUGCUUUCAUCUCUGCCGAGGUUGUCCAGCCCGGGCCCCGGCCAUCCCUCACCGUGUCCUGGGGUCUUCAGCGGUCCCUUUUCUGCCCACUCUGGCCCAUGCCUUGGACUCUCACACUGUAUCCCAGACCUUGUGCUAUUGAUUGCGAAUUUCGGCUUCUAUGUUGAAAUCACCUGCUGCUGGGUACUCCACUGACUAUACAUGCUGUGUCACCUGAAAGAUGAGGAAAUAGGCUCAGAGAAAGGAAGCAGCUUUCCCAGAUUCACACAGUGAGGAACGAAAACCACCACAGUCCUACAGUCUCAACCAUUGAGCAGCUGAGCCUACCUCCCGUGCCCUCUCUGCCACCCAGGACCACAGGGAGCAGUGAGACGGAAGCUAAUCUUGAGAGCAGUGUGUAGGUGUGGAGGGGCCUUUCCAGACCGGGGGAAACCCCACGCUUCCUAUGCCCGACCUUAGCCUCUUGUUCCCGGUUGUCCCCGGGCGCUGGAGGUGGGUCAUUGCCAUGAGGCGAAAGAGCAGAGAGGCCAGACCUGGAAAGAAAGAUGGGCAGUGUUACUGAUGAGGGGGAUUCCCUAGCCCCUAUCCAGCUACCUUAACAAUUCAAAUACUAACCCAGCCCUCAGCCAUCCACCUCCCACUUCUUCCAUGUUUCUUCCUAAAAGGGAGGAAAAAAACCAUCCUGUCCCAUUCUUGCCUGCUGCAAGCAAGCUCUAAACGCGGGAGAGAUGGAAACAGAACCCAAAGGCUUUUCCUAGGGGAUAUCUUCCCUGUCUCCUACUGCAUGUAUCCUCGUUUCUGUUCCCCUUAGCUUCUGGCCAAACUUUAAAAAGGAACAUAAUGCUGCUGGCUCUCUCAUUGUAAAGAAAUCUCAGGUGCCAGACGGGAACAGGGGCCAGCAGUUAGCCUGGUGCUAAAGACACCUGUGUCCCCGGGUCAGCGGGCUCGGGUUCACUUCCCAGCUCCCCUCGGUCCUCCAGCUUCCUGCUCAUGCAAACCUGAGAGGCCGUGGUGGUAGGUCAAGGAAUCUGGCUGCUGCUGCCCACAAGGGAGACCUGGAUUGAGUCCCUGGCUCGAAGAUCCCUGCUUCUACCCUUGCCCCGUCCCAGCACCAGUCUUUGGUGCUGGCUAGAGAAUGGGUCAGCAGAUUAGCUCAUCUCUCUGCUGGUCUCUCCUCUUCUCUCUCCCUCUCCCACU